rnacentral:misc_RNA from 1 species
UCAUCAGCAUAUUCAUGGCGGGAGAUGUGAAAGAAGACUAAGAGAUGUUGGUAGAGAGGCAAAAGAUUAAGGACCCGAAACACCAAAUCCUCCAAUCUCCUUUCCUUCCCUCAAGAUCUUCACAAAUCAAACUUUUGAUCCUCACCUUCUGUGUGGUGUGUGGUGGUUUAAGGUAUCAAAGGCUUUAUUGAAAUCCAGUAAAAUGAUACGAAUUUAUAAGAACAAUACGCGAAAAAAGAAAAAAAAGGUCGAGAAAGUAGCAGUGGAAGCGUUGAAAAUGACAACUAUGAUAAAACUACUCAUGUAAUGCCAAGAUCAUUGCAUGCUAACAUUGGAAAAGCGUCUCAUUCUCCAGCAGAACCUGUAAAUAUAUCUGUUUGGUGACUAUUCUUCUCGAUCGACGUCCCAAGAAACUUAUGACAUCAACAUCGA